AGAGAGGGGGAGGGAGGAGAGGAGGAAGAGCGCCGCAGCCUCGGCAGCUGGAGUCGGAACGGGGGGGGACGGUUUCAAAAAAUAAUUAAAAAUCGAGGAAAUAUCCUAGAAAAGCCCUUUUGGCGUGAAAACCCCAAAGAGGAGCCAGGCUUCCCGAAAGGGAGGUUUCGGGUGUCAGAAAGGUGCCCCGGCAGCUCUAGGUCUCACCGAACCUGUUACGAUGGCAGCCUCUAUGCUUCACUGUUGGGGAUUGCUUCUGCUUUGAAAUAGCCACAUGGAAGAAAAACUACAAAGUUUUGAGGGGAAAAAAAACCCACCUAAUGUUAGCUGCCGAUGUGUCUUCAUCUGUAAAAAUCUUCUUCAUGUCUCAUGGAUUUCAACAUGCAGUUUCUCUUGGGUUUGUUCCAUAAAACAUCAGAUGCAACUUUAAUGGCCUAACCCCAAAAAAGAUAACUUCACAGCCAUCAAACAUUCAGCAGCGCUCCACAUACCCUCUUGCUGGAGCCAGCCUUCUACGGGGCCGUGUGGAUGUCAGGCACACACAAUGUGAGUCACGCUGACAUAGCUGGGAUGCCUGGAUUGCGCUGGAAUCUGGGGGGUACCAAUCACAGGCCAGAGAGAAGCCAUUGGCUGGAAGGAACAAUGCCAGAGUGUUCACCGUCUCUGCAGAAGGAGGGGGUGUUGAUGGUGAAGGGAAUGACAGUGGCAGCCAGAGGACGAAAAUGACCCCAAAGCAGGGUGGGCACAUCUCGGUGAUGCUGGGCAGAAGCAUUCCAGGGGCUCAGGUCAUGACCACACCCCUCUUUUCCUGCCCCACCACCAGAAAAAUCAAGAAGGUACAAAAUUUUCCCUAAAACAAUGUACGGAAUGCCCUGCUGUCUUCAAGUUUUUGAGAAACCCAGAGUUGACACCAACAGCCCAAAUUUAUGAAGCACUUACCUCUACCAGACACUGUCUGUAUCUUACAAAUAAUUCAUUUAAUUCUCACAGCUCCUUCAUGAGGUGUGAGUCUUUUUCUGGUUUACUACAUGCCAAGGACUGUGCUAAAUCAUUCACAUAAAACCACUAGCAUGCAUCACCUCGUUGGGUCCCCCCACAGUCUAAUGGGAGAAUCUUCCAUAAAACUGGCAGACUCCUCCUGAUCUCCACCUGUGCUGUCUACCUCUCUAGUUUCAGACACUGAGAGCUGCUGCCCUGCGGCCACCUCAAGCAGGAACCCUGCAAGAUCGCCAAGAAGACUGCGUGCCUCGCUCUAGCCUCUUCCUAAGGGAAAGUAGACUCCUGUUUUUGAGAGAAAUUACCUGAUUUCGAGAGAAACAUAGAGGACUUUUUUUUUCCUUAAGGUAACAUUCCACUUGUAAAAAUGAAGUUUGGAAGAAUUUCUGCAAACUCAGUGUUUUGGUCAAUUGAUCUUUUACUGUACCAGGCGAAUCUGAAGCCACAAAUACACGGGGGAGGAAGGUAUGCCCUUCACAAAGGAUUUGCACUUAGCCAGACACUCUGUUGCUGUGCUUCUUUAAAUAAGGAACAUUUCUGGUA